CGGUCAAAUCACGCUGAAACACCGGUUCUCGUUCGAUCACCGAAGUUAAGCAUCGUAGAGCCAGGUCAGUACUUAGAUGGGAGACCGCUUGGGAACACCUGGUACUGUAAG
rnacentral:rRNA from 1 species